CCGUCCCCCCAACCUCCUCUGGUCCAUCCACCUGCAACAGCACACAGAUUAUUAUUUUUAUUUCAACUUUAUUUAUACAGGUAGAUAGCCAAGGAAGGCACUGAAACCCAAGCUGUCCCCACAAACCCAAGUGCUUGAGAUGGCCUCCUCAACCUCAUUCCAUUCCUCAACAACUUCAUCCCCAGACUGCUGCACUGACUGCUGACAUUGCUGACAGGGUAACCUGUGAUGGAGUGGCAUCAGACGUGAGUUGUUGUCUUCCAUAGGAGGAGAAGAUGGCAAAUGACCUGGCAGACGAUGCUGAAACCCUUCUAAAGUUAAGACAACCUGAAAAAUAUACCAGGCCUAUCAUUAUUCUGCUUUUAACAUCAUACUGUAUUUGUUCAUUAUGGAAUUUGACAUAUGUCCUGAUCUAAUAUGUUUUCCUGAUCACGUUAAUAAUUUGUGAUUCGUUUGAAAUGUUGUUUUCCCCUCGAGACAGUCUGUAAUAAGGAUAUAAUAAUAACACAUAAUAUUACUAUUUCUACAAUGAACCAAAAUGCAGUACCUCCGGCAGGCAGAGAGGCAAGAACUGUUUGUCCGCCAGCUCAGGGACAAGCUACACUGUUCACAGCCCUGUGUAAUGUUCAAUGUAAAUGCAUUGCUUGACUUUUUUAAACUUCAUGUAUUUGUAUUGUUUUAACUUUUGAAUUUCACAUCCCAUGUGUUAGGGAUAGGGAGGGUGAUAAGUGGGGGUUGGAUAUUAAUGGGAAGGUGUUUAAAAUGUAAAAAUAAAAGGAACUGUAUAGUUUAAACUUGUCUUGAAUGUUUAUUUGUUUUAGCUGAUAGUGAUCAUUCCUUAAGUGUUAAUACAUUUGCCUCAUUAAUAUGUGUGUUAUGAAUGACCAAAGGUGUCUGACUUUAUAGUAAGUACAGCGUCAUAUGAUACAAGGCAUUUAUGUAUGUGUUAUGAAUGACCAAAGGUGUCUGACUUUAUUAAAGUAAGUACACUGUCACGCGAUAUAGAGUCUUUAUGGAUGUGUUAUG